rnacentral:lncRNA from 1 species
AGAGGUCUGGGAGAUGUUUGCCUUUGAGAAAUGCAGGAAGCAGCCAGCAAGCAAGGUGCUGAAGCCCAAAAAUGAAAUCGGCUUCAAGGUCAUCAAAGGCUCUUAGGAAGGAUAAGGAGACAUCUGGAUGGGACAGUUCAGGUGUAGAAGCCACCCUCCAAAGCCGAGAAGAGAUCCCUGCCUGUCUUAUUUCGGCAGUUUGUUUCACACCUCUCCAUGCAGUGAGGUUCAGCAUGGUGGAUGCGAUGAGGAAAAUAGCCUUGUCGAAGGCACCUGUGUCACUGGACAUGUACAGGAGUUUGUAUAUGACAGACUACAGAUGGCACAAGGAGUACCAGCCGCCCACCGAGGAGUACUUGCAGGGAUGUUGCUGCACAAGCAGGAGCUGGAUCGGGGCUGGGCUGCCUACCAGCAAUUCAUCUUGGAGACAUGUCGGGCAAGGCAAUUUAAAGCUCAAGAAAACAAGAGCAUGGUCUUGGGCUCAUCUGUUUUGGGGGAAGGAACUACUGGGUAUCAGAGUACGAGGACAGCUACAGUGUUUUCUUACGGAGGCUGAACCGGUCAUCUCAAAUCCCCACUGCAGGGCUGUGUUCAGCCGUAAAGCCCAUCUCACAUCUACCCCACAGGCUGUCCUCUCAGAAAGCGAUUGCUGUGGACACAGCCCAGUGAGAGGUGCUACAGCUGUCCAUGGGGCGAACAAGUCAAGACCAAAGGCUGGUGGAAGCAUAUGAAAGAGAAAACAAAUAUACGGAGCCUGGUGAGUGAAAGCUGGAAGGAAGACUGUCAGAUGGAAUUCACCAAGUACUAGAAAUGUAUCAGAUGCAACAGCACAUAAGGUAUUAGAAAAGCACAAUCGGGGAGCACAGCAGGUGCCAUGUGUCAAAGGAACUUCAUUCUUGGAGCUGAUGAAUAACACUGCUUAUAGAGAAAUCAAGUGAAGCACACCAGUGUAACCUGAUGGAAAGCACAGCUGAGAGACAGCUGCAUCUGAUCUGUAGUACAGCUAGAAAAACAAUGGUUAGCAAGUGUCUUUGGUGGCUUCUGUUCAUAAUCACUGUCAACCAACAGAGUUAUUAGGAAGUUACUUUAGAGUAAAGAUCUCUGUUUAUGCAGCUUCACACCUGGCUGGAUCAAGGCAGACAGGAAAGCAAACCCUCCUUUCUUUUCUGCCUCCCAUGUAGCUUCUCCAAGGAUGGUGCUGAAUAAGGGGUAGUACCAUCCCGGCAGGCUCCCCCUCCCAAGAAAGGGAGAGGAAACAGGAAAAUAAAUUUGCCACUCUUACAGUCCCA